AGGUUGCAAAAUCAAACAGUGUAAUUUGUGGGGGGAUUAAGUUCCUUCACCACACUUUUCUGUUGGUACAUAGAAAUGAGUGCCUUUAGAGAAAAGAUGAUAAUGCAUUCAAGGUUUUUUCCUCUUGCACAGUACCACACUUACUGUCUUCUUCUGGUAAUCCAAGCUGCUUCUGAUUAUUUAGACAUGUCAAAAAAGUGACAUGGGCAUUAUCAAAGAUGCAACACACCAGAGAUAUAAAAUGUAGUUAAAUGUCACAGUAAUGACCUGAUUAAAAUGCUAAUUAAUCACAUGCCAUGCUAUGCAGAUGCUCUGUCUGCACUGAUGAAGACUCACCAUGAGUGCUUGAAGUAGCUGACUGCUUUGGCCUUACCGUCUCAUUAACUCAGCUAAUAAUUAUCUGACCACAAGUGGGCAGCCAUUGUUUACCAAUAUAGAACUGAACUUUCAUCCAGAGAUAGUCAGGUAAUCACCUGAAUAUAAAAGAAAAAAAGUAAGAUGUUAGUGCUUGGUAAAAUGUAAUAGCAUAAUGAAUUUUACAUGCUUCAUCACAAUAAAAAGGCAUUAGUUUUAAUGGAGGCACAUCAUAAACUGUACAUAUUCCUCAAAUCAGUGAUCCUACUUAGAGUUUUAAGAGGUACCAACAUACAGCAGUUUAAGAAACAGUGUGACAUCAGGUUGUCAAAUUAAACUACUGCUAUACUGACUGAGUAAUCUAAAUUUUAAAGUUUAAUAAUUAGGGCAGACAUUGAUUUUGUUUUAUAACUUACAUGUAAAAUAAAUAGACUAAAGGAAUCAGGAGGAUUGCAACAUUCCCAGAUGCAUUCUUCACAUUUUUUUCUGCGUUGCAAUGUAGCAUCUUCCUGAUGUGAAUUCAGAAACUUGCUAAAACAAGUCGAUGACAGUAACUUAAACAUAAAACACACUUUAAAACUCAUGUGAAUAUUGAAUGCAAGUCUAGCAAAUUUCUCUAAGCUACUAGUAGUUUACAGCUGCUUAGAACAGAAAAAAAAAUCAAAGUAAGCAACUCAUUUAACAAAUCUGAAAACAAUUAAAAGUUGCUUCUGGUGUUUGAAGGCAUGCUCAGAACAGGAAGCAACCCUGAGCAUGCACAAACAAGGCUGCAAUGCCAUUAUCUGUCUGAGCCUUUCAUGUUGGUAAUGAAAGUACAGAGAAACAACCUUCCCUCAGAGGCUGUCAGCAAGUCGGCUGCAGGAAGCUCAGAGUGCAGAUGACAGGUGGAAGAGCAGAACGUCUGCGCUGGAAUGAAAAUGGUGCAGCCUGGACAGCAUGGCGACAAAACGUUUCAAGAGGCUGGAUGGUUCAGAGGAUCCAGGCACGAGAUGCUGUCCAGAUGCCUGUCCUCCACCUCAGCUGAAGUGCUCAUUCCAUGAGUCAGCGUGUCGAUCACUGGGUGAGAGCCGGGAGGGAGAAGCGGCUGUUUUUCUCAGAGCUCUGCUGCCUGUUUGCCAAACAAUGGCAGAUGGGAAUGCUUGGAUAUUAGUGGAUGCCUUCUACGUGCUUGGACAUGCUAUGCAAAAUUCAACAGUGUCACGCUCUGUCUCUGACUCUGCUGCCAUGUAUCACUUGUGAAUGUGUUCCUUCACUGACCCUAUUAGGUAACUUGUAAGCUGUAAAAACUUGUAGCAGCAUGUUUCUCUGUUUGGCUGUGUAAAGAUCCUUGGGGUUUGCUCCAGCAAAACAUCAUUACUCUGAUUGAUAUUGUCUUUACGAACUGCUUAUGAUGUUAAGAAAAGUUAAGAAAACAUUUAAAUCCAGACACAAUCUUGAAGUGAAGCCAGUUGCUCCGAGGUUACACUCCACACACCUGCUUCCUUGUUAACAUAAGAAGCAGCAACAGGCUCAUUUUAAGCUCCAACAUAAAUUAACUUGUGUCCUUCUGAAUAAAAGCACCAUAUCUGGUUUCUAUGGAA